UGGGGAAUAUUGCACAAUGGGCGCAAGCCUGAUGCAGCCAUGCCGCGUGUGUGAAGAAGGCCUUCGGGUUGUAAAGCACUUUCAGCGAGGAGGAAGGGUAGUGUGUUAAUAGCACAUUGCAUUGACGUUACUCGCAGAAGAAGCACCGGCUAACUCCGUGCCAGCAGCCGCGGUAAUACGGAGGGGGCAAGCGUUAAUGGGAAUUACUGGGCGUAAAGCGCACGCAGGCGGUUUGUUAAGUCAGAUGUGAAAUCCCCGCGCUUAACGUGGGAACUGCAUUUGAAACUGGCAAGCUAGAGUCUUGUAGAGGGGGGUAGAAUUCCAGGUGUAGCGGUGAAAUGCGUAGAGAUCUGGAGGAAUACCGGUGGCGAAGGCGGCCCCCUGGACAAAGACUGACGCUCAGGUGCGAAAGCGUGGGGAGCAAACA
rnacentral:rRNA from 1 species